UGAGCGGCGGACGGGUGAGUAACGCGUGGGUAACCUGCCUCAUACAGGGGGAUAACAGUUGGAAACGGCUGCUAAUACCGCAUAAGCGCACAGUACCGCAUGGUACGGUGUGAAAAACUCCGGUGGUAUGAGAUGGACCCGCGUCUGAUUAGGUAGUUGGUGGGGUAACGGCCUACCAAGCCGACGAUCAGUGGCCGACCUGAGAGGGUGACCGGCCACAUUGGGACUGAGACACGGCCCAA
rnacentral:rRNA from 1 species